rnacentral:lncRNA from 1 species
UUUUUUUUGAUAGAAAGUUCACUAAAUUUUAUUGCUCUAGAAUGAAAUUAUAGAUUCCGAAAUGGAUACAUCAGAAAGAGUAGUACCACCUUUGGCAAGGAAAUUGCCAAGGCAUUCGCCUCCCUAUAAACGUGAACAAAGGAAACAGAGAGGGAAGCGGAUAAAUCUAAUAUUUGCAACAACAACGGUUUCAGUUCCCACAGGAGCAGUUGUUCCUUCUUGCACCACAAUAUCACAUUAAGAGAAUCCCCCUCUAGAAUGCACUCAUGCCUCAAUUUCCUAUUCACAAUAGUACGCAUACCAAAAAGAAGGGCAGACAGUUCAACGAAGUUAGCAGUCCGAACACCAAGAGGACCUGCAUUAGAAAGAACCACGUUUCCAUCCUAAUCUCGAAUCACUCCUCCAAAGCCAGAUACACCCGGGUUGCCUAUCAAACUGCCAUCGAAAUUUAAUUUAUAUACCCCCAAUGGCGGUGGCAAC